rnacentral:ncRNA from 1 species
UAUAUUGAGAGUUUGAUCCUGGCUCAGGACGAACGCUGGCGGCGUGCUUAACACAUGCAAGUCGAGCGAUGAAGUUCCUUCGGGAACGGAUUAGCGGCGGACGGGUGAGUAACACGUGGGUAACCUGCCUCAUAGAGGGGAAUAGCCUUUCGAAAGGAAGAUUAAUACCGCAUAAGAUUGUAGUUUCGCAUGAAACAGCAAUUAAAGGAGUAAUCCGCUAUGAGAUGGACCCGCGUCGCAUUAGCUAGUUGGUGAGGUAACGGCUCACCAAGGCGACGAUGCGUAGCCGACCUGAGAGGGUGAUCGGCCACAUUGGGACUGA